rnacentral:rRNA from 1 species
UACAGAGGGUGCGAGCGUUAAUCGGAAUUACUGGGCGUAAAGCGCGCGUAGGCGGCUUUGCAAGCCGGAUGUGAAAAUCUCCAGGCUUAACCUGGAAAGUGCAGAGGGGACUGUUCAGCUAGAGGAUGGGAGAGGAGCGCGGAAUUCCCGGUGUAGCGGUGAAAUGCGUAGAGAUCGGGAGGAAGGCCGGUGGCGAAGGCGGGCGCUCUGGAACAUUUCUGACGCUGAGGCUCGAAAGCGUGGGGGAGCAAACAG